rnacentral:rRNA from 1 species
UAGGGAAUAUUGCGCAAUGGGCGAAAGCCUGACGCAGCGACACCGUGUGUAGGAUGAAGAUUUUCGGAUUGUAAACUACUGUCGGUUGAAGAAGAAGGCAUGAUAGUUAAGAGCUUGAAUGCUGACGGUAUUCAACGAGGAAGUCUCGGCUAACUCCGUGCCAGCAGCCGCGGUAAGACGGAGGAGGCAAGCAUUGUCCGGAAUUAUUGGGCGUAAAGAACACGUAGGCGGUUUUUCAAGUCAAAUGUGAAAACCUUGGGCUUAACUUGAGGAUUGCAUUUGAAACUGAAAAGCUAGAGUACAGUAGAGGAAAGUGGAAUUCCUGGUGUAGCGGUGAAAUGCGCAGAUAUCAGGAAGAACACCAGUGGCGAAAGCGGCUUUCUGGACUGUUACUGACGCUGAGGUGUGAAAUCUAGGGGAGCGAACAGG